rnacentral:rRNA from 1 species
CCAGACUCCUACGGGAGGCAGCAGUGAGGGCUCUUGGUCAAUGGGGGCCCCCCUGAACCCGCCACGCCGCGUGCGGGCAGACGGUUUUCGGAUUGUAAACCUCUGUCCUCUGUGAAGAUAAUGACGGUCGCCGAGGAGGAAGCUCCGGCUAACUACGUGCCAGCAGCCGCGGUAAUACGUAGGGAGCAAGCGUUGUCCGGAUUUACUGGGUGUAAAGGGUGCGUAGGCGGCUUUGCAAGUCAGAAGUGAAAUCCAUGGGCUUAACCCAUGAACUGCUUUUGAAACUGCAGAGCUUGAGUGGAGUAGAGGUAGGCGGAAUUCCCGGUGUAGCGGUGAAAUGCGGAGAGAUCGGGAGGAACACCAGUGGCGAAGGCGGCCUGCUGGACCGUAACUGACGUUGAGGCUCGAAAGCGUGGGUAGCAAACAGGAUUAGAUACCCUUGUAGU